rnacentral:rRNA from 1 species
UCCACGCCGUAAACGAUGAUUACUCGGUGCUAGCGAUAUACUGUUAGUGCCUAAGCGAAAGUGAUAAGUAAUCCACCUGGGGAGUACGGUCGCAAGAUUGAAACUCAAAGGAAUUGACGGGGGCCCGCACAAGCGGUGGAGCAUGUGGUUUAAUUCGAUGAUACGCGAGGAACCUUACCUGGGCUUAAAUGUAUUUUGACAGGCUGGGAAACCAGUCCUUCUUCGGACAAUUU